GCCUAGCCCUAAACCUCAGUAAUUAUUAAACAAAAUUAUUUGCCAGAGGACUACUAGCCACCGCUUAAAACUCAAAGGACUUGGCGGUACUUUAUAUCCACCUAGAGGAGCCUGUUCUAUAAUCGAUAAACCCCGCUACACCUUACCACCCCUUGCUAAUUCAGCCUAUAUACCGCCAUCUUCAGCAAACCUUAAAAAAGAACAAAAGUAAGCAAGAGUAUCUGCAUAAAAACGUUAGGUCAAGGUGUAGCUAAUGGAGUGGAAAGAAAUGGGCUACAUUUUCUUCUAAAGAACACUACGAGACUCUUUAUGAAAUUAAAGAAUAAAGGAGGAUUUAGUAGUAAAUUAAGAAUAGAGAGCUUAAUUGAAUAGAGCAAUGAAGUACGC
rnacentral:rRNA from 1 species